AAAUUUUGUACCAACCAGCAAAACAAAUGGCGUGCUAGUGUGCGUUAGAGCGGGCUUAGAUAACUCUAUUUCCAAAUCUGACACAAAAUAUUUUUGGUGCUACGUCUGUCAAAAUUCAAGUACAAACACAUUGCCAUGGUUGCUUCGAUUGAAGUAUUCCAAGCCGGCAAUGUGUCUGAAAUAUUUGUUUACUGGCUCGAUGUUCUGCAUUGCUCUGGGUUUGCUUGUUAUUGUUUAACUUGUUUUUGUUGUUGUUAUUUAAUUGCAGGUUGGCGUUUCUUGUUUCCCGAUGCGAUUUCUUUGUUACCGAUGUUGAUGCGUUAAUUGGACUGGAGAUGUUUAGUAUUGAACUGUUGAGGAUGGCGACGAUGACGAUGAUGAUACUGACCAUGAUAUUUGAUGUCGAGGAGAUCUAGUAAUUGACAAGGCCGACUGGACGAUGAGGACGACGGCGAAGCAGCAUGAUGACCGAUGCAGACGA